rnacentral:rRNA from 1 species
GACGAAGGAUGCAAGCGUUAUCCGGAUUCAUUGGGUUUAAAGGGAGCGUAGGCGGCCUUGUAAGUCAGUGGUGAAAUCUCGAGGCUUAACCUCGAAAUUGCCAUUGAUACUGCAGGGCUUGAGUACAGAUGCCGUUGGCGGAAUAUGACAUGUAGUGGUGAAAUACAUAGAGAUGUCAUAGAACACCGAUUGCGAAGGCAGCUAACGAAACUGUAACUGACGCUGAGGCUCGAAAGUGCGGGGAGCAAACCGG